rnacentral:rRNA from 1 species
AUUGAACGCUGGCGGCAUGCUUUACACAUGCAAGUCGAACGGCAGCACGGACUUCGGUCUGGUGGCGAGUGGCGAACGGGUGAGUAAUACAUCGGAACGUGCCCAGCUGUGGGGGAUAACUACUCGAAAGAGUAGCUAAUACCGCAUGAGAACUGAGGUUGAAAGCAGGGGAUCGCAAGACCCUGCGCAACUGGAGCGGCCGAUGGCAGAUUAGGUAGUUGGUGGGAUAAACGCUUACCAAGCCGACGAUCUGUAGCUGGUCUGAGAGGACGACCAGCCACACUGGGACUGAGACACGGCCCUGACUCCUACGGGAGGCAGCAGUGGGGAAUUUUGGACAAUGGGCGAAAGCCUGAUCCAGCAAUGCCGCGUGCAGGAUGAAGGCCUUCGGGUUGUAAACUGCUUUUGUACGGAACGAAAAGCUUCGGGUUAAUACCCUGGAGUCAUGACGGUACCGUAAGAAUAAGCACCGGCUAACUACGUGCCAGCCGCCGCAGUAAAAC